AUACGGAGGGUGCAAGCGUUACUCGGAAUCACGGGGCGUAAAGCGCGCGCAGGCGGCUUGAUAAGUUGGAUGUGAAAGCCUGCGGCUCAACCGUAGAACUGCAUCCAAAACUGUCAAGCUAGAGUCUGGGAGGGGAAGAUGGAAUUAGUUGUGUAGGGGUAAAAUCCGUAGAGAUAACUAGGAAUACCAAAAGCGAAGGCGAUCUUCUGGAACAGUACUGACGCUGAGGCGCGAAAGCGUGGGGAGCAAACAGGAUUAGAAACCCGAGUAGUCC
rnacentral:rRNA from 1 species